UAGGGAAUCUUCCACAAUGGACGAAAGUCUGAUGGAGCAACGCCGCGUGAGUGAUGAAGGGUUUCGGCUCGUAAAACUCUGUUGUUGGAGAAGAACAGGUGAUAGAGCAACUGUUAUCAUCUUGACGGUAUCCAACCAGAAAGCCACGGCUAACUACGUGCCAGCAGCCGCGGUAAUACGUAGGUGGCAAGCGUUGUCCGGAUUUAUUGGGCGUAAAGCGAGCGCAGGCGGUUUUUUAGGUCUGAUGUGAAAGCCUUCGGCUUAACCGGAGAAGGGCAUCGGAAACCGGGAGACUUGAGUGCAGAAGAGGACAGUGGAACUCCAUGUGUAGCGGUGAAAUGCGUAGAUAUAUGGAAGAACACCAGUGGCGAAGGCGGCUGUCUGGUCUGUAACUGACGCUGAGGCUCGAAAGCAUGGGUAGCAAACAGGAUUAGAUACCCUGGUAGUCCAUGCCGUAAAACGAUGAGUGCUAAGUGUUGGAGGGUUUCCGCCCUUCAGUGCUGCAGCUAACGCAUUAAGCACUCCGCCUGGGGAGUACGACCGCAAGGUUGAAAC
rnacentral:rRNA from 1 species